rnacentral:rRNA from 1 species
CCUACGGGUGGCAGCAGUGGGGAAUAUUGCACAAUGGGGGAAACCCUGAUGCAGCGACACCGCGUGAGUGAAGAAGUAUCUCGGUAUGUAAAGCUCUAUCAGCAGGGAAGAAAAUGACGGUACCAAAGGAAUAAGCCCCGGCUAACUACGUGCCAGCAGCCGCGGUAAUACGUAGGGGGCAAGCGUUGUUCGGAAUGACUGGGCGUAAAGGGUGUGUAGGUGGUUUGAUAAGUUAGAUGUGUAAUACCCAGGGCUUAAAUCGGGUGCUGCAUCUAAAACUGUUAGACUUGAGUACUGGAGAGGAUAGUGGAAUUCGUGGUGUAGCGGUGGAAUGCGUAGAUAUUAGGAAGAACAUCAGUGGCGAAGGCGACUAUCUGGACAGCAACUGACACUGAGGCACGAAAGCGUGGGGAGCAAACAGGAUUAGAUACCCGUGUAGUC